UCUUAUGGAGGAGCAAAGAAAGUGGUUUCUUCGGAUGGAAUCUACUUCUUAUGAAAAUGCUGUGAA
rnacentral:pre_miRNA from 1 species